GAAGCGGCAACAGCUCAAAUUUGAAAUCUGGCGCAAGCCCGAGUUGUAAUUUGUAGAGGAUGCUUCGAGGCAGCGGCCGUUCUAAGUUCCUUGGAACAGGACGUCAUAGAGGGUGAGAAUCCCGUAUGUGACCGGCCCGCACCUCAUACGUAGCUCCUUCGACGAGUCGAGUUGUUUGGGAAUGCAGCUCUAAACGGGAGGUAAAUUUCUUCUAAAGCUAAAUACCGGCUGGAGACCGAUAGCGCACAAGUAGAGUGAUCGAAAGAUGAAAAGCACUUUGGAAAGAGAGUUAAAAAGCACGUGAAAUUGUUGAAAGGGAAGCGCCUACAACCAGACUUCGCGGCAGUGUUCCGCCGGUCUUCUGACCGGUUCAUUCUCUGUCGCGAGGCCAUCAUCGUCUGGGGCCGCCGGAUAAGACUGGAGGAAUGUAGCUCCCUUCGGGGUGUGUUAUAGCUUCCAGUGAUGCGGCGCGUCUCGGGCGAGGUCCGCGCUUCGGCAAGGAUGAUGGCGUAAUGGUUGUCGGCGGCCCGUCUUGAAACACGGACCAAGGAGUCUAACAUCUAUGCGAGUGUUCGGGUGUCAAACCCCUACGCGUAAUGAAAGUGAACGGAGGUGGGAACUUUUUGUGCACCAUCGACCGAUCCUGAUGUCCUCGGAUGGAUUUGAGUAAGAGCAUAGCUGUUGGGACCCGAAAGAUGGUGAACUAUGCCUGAAUAGGGUGAAGCCAGAGGAAACUCUGGUGGA
rnacentral:rRNA from 1 species